AGAGUUUGAUCAUGGCUCAGACGAACGCUGGCGGCAUGCCUAACACAUGCAAGUCGAACGAGACCUUCGGGUCUAGUGGCGCACGGGUGCGUAACGCGUGGGAAUCUGCCCUUCGGUUCGGAACAACAGUUAGAAAUGACUGCUAAUACCGGAUAAUGACGUAAGUCCAAAGAUUUAUCGCCGAAGGAUGAGCCCGCGUAAGAUUAGGUAGUUGGUGGGGUAAUGGCCUACCAAGCCGACGAUCUUUAGCUGGUCUGAGAGGAUGAUCAGCCACACUGGGACUGAGACACGGCCCAGACUCCUACGGGAGGCAGCAGUGGGGAAUAUUGGACAAUGGGCGAAAGCCUGAUCCAGCAAUGCCGCGUGAGUGAUGAAGGCCUUAGGGUUGUAAAGCUCUUUUACCAGGGAUGAUAAUGACAGUACCUGGAGAAUAAGCUCCGGCUAACUCCGUG
rnacentral:rRNA from 1 species